CAAAGCUGCAGCAACUCUUACAGAUUUGGGGAAUUAAAGAACAAUUAAGCACACAGAGGAUCUGCACAGCAUCCCGCUUUGAGGCACGAUCUCGAUGGUCAGUGCAGCCUCACCCCAUUUGCUGACAGCUCUGCAGCCUGCUUCUGGACCAGCAGCUCCUGUGUUGGCUAGUGCGUUAAGGUCGCUGGAAAGCUGUGCUGUGUUGUACUUGGUGUACACGAACAUCCUUCUGGUGAUUGAUGGCUACACCCUACGGAAAUGUUUUAAUUCUGUCCUUGAAGCUUGCCUUCAGGAACACUGUCAGUACGUAUUCUUCCUUGUCGAGCAGCACACGGCGCUUGGGAAUCUGCAGCAGCCCGAGGUCCCUGGCUUCUACCCAUGGGCAUUCAACAACCUCUCCUCUGGGCUUCGGAUUCAGUUCCCAAGCCUUCAACCAAUGGACUUCCCUACCUCUGAUUUACUAGAAAGGGCUGGUUUAAAAGGCACACUUAGGACACGAUGAUUCCCAUGAAAAAGCAGUAACAGCUGGUAAAUCACAAACCCAGCUAUCAGGUUCCAAGAAAUAAUGUGUGCCCUUCUCAGUCAAACAGGUCGCUCACAAUUACUCCAAGCCUUUGCCAUGUCCAGUAUCUUGCCUUCACUUUGAUGUUAUGUGCUGCAGUAAUCUGUCCAGAAUCCAGUCAAUCUGAAUAGAUGUACAGAAAAAUAGCUAAGGCUACUGUCCUUAAUUGUUUAUGUUUUACUUUGCACAGUUAUUAAGGAAAAUACUUGAAGCCGUCACUAUACUUAAAAAAUAAUGUUGCAGAACUUGGCUUCAGGAGGGCAGAAUUCCACUUUUUAUGUAUUGUUCCCUUUUGCAAUAACUCCUCUUUAAACCAUAUUCCUGAGCUAUCUAAAACCCUUGGCCAGAACCUACAGUUGAGAGGCACAGUUAAAAUGCUUCAAACUGGCUGAUAUUACAAGACUAAACCCUACUUUAAAGACGUUUAACGUUACCAUGCGGCAGCCAAGCCCUCCAACACAGCAGGUUUGCAAGCCAGCAAGUCACCUGCAGCUUCUCAUGUCAUCUGCUCCAGUGACACCACCGAGAUAAACUUGAAAAUAGGAACAAAGCACUGGAAAUAUUCCAGAGCUGCCGUAUCCCAGAGGUUAUUUAACUUGGACUUCACACUCCUAAGAUUUCCAUGAAAUAGGCUGAGAACUGAAACAGUAGUCGAUGUUAAGCACAGAAUCAGUAAUUUAACUGUUACUCCACAUUUUUUUAUGAUCCUCACUGGAUGUAAACCAACUUUUUGUCCUGGUGAUGCAACUGUGCUACCUGAAAAAUGACGUUUCCAAGAGAAAAAAAAAAAAUCAGUAUGGAAAGUCCUGUGGUGAAUGAAAAAACAACUUGGCAGAAAAAGAGAUAAUUUUGAAAAGCUGAUUAAUGGGUAGGGUUUUUUGUUUGUUUGUUUUUCUGUACUUCAUAACAAUUUCUGCACUAGAUACCAUUACCUUUGGAUUCUGUGGGUUUUCCAGGAAAAUUGUUCACUGAAAAUUUUGUGUGCUUUCAACAAGCAAAAUCAAGAGCAAGACUCCACUAGUCAUUUACCAGUAUUUGCCAUCCAUUUUUGGCAGUUUCAUAUUCAUGGUUUCUACUCCCUCUGAAAGCAAUUAGAACAGUGAUUUACAAGUCAUAGGAAUAGAAAGUUGUAAAAUCCUUUAUCAGUAUAUUUCAAUAUUAAAAACAAUAAAGAAUUAACUCCACCUCCAAUAAACCAAACAAAAGGCUCUGGUUUUAAAGAUUUUUUUUUUCAGUGUAGAACUUGAUGUUUUGGCUUGUUGGUUACCUGUUUUCUCAGUGAAAUUCAUUCAUUUCACGUUCACUAACUGACCCGCUCUUCUGUGGAGAUGGGUGUCCUCAUCUCCAGCUCUAGCCAAGAGCAACUAGUUUUUUUUUCUUGUAUCUCUCAGCUCACACUGCCAAUGAUGUAAAUACUUCUAGCGACCAGCUGGAUUUAAAUUGCAGACAAGUCAAGAGUAUUUGUUAUAGUAUCAAUUCAUCUUAACACUUAUUCCAAGUUGGAACAUGGCAAGACCAGCACAAAUGGAAACUAAAUAUAUUCUCAUUCGGGUCUAAUGAAAGAGCAGGGAGCUUUUAAACAUUACUCUCCGUAACUGCUAAGUGACUGCUGCACACAGUCUUUGCAUGAGCCUUGUGAUUGUCUCCACUGAAAAUUAAUUUUGUUGUACUCAUCAUUGAUGUAUUGCAUCAUUCUUGUCACCAGAAAAACACAAAGAGGCUGAGUAACAAAACACUAAUAUUUCUAGAUCCUAGGUGGGAGUCUGCAAGUUCAUUUUUUUGCUGCAAAUAAAAAUCACCAUACAAAAAAAAAAAAAAUCCACAUUAAUACAGAAGGAAAGUGUUAUUCAAUACAGCAGUGAGAA